rnacentral:rRNA from 1 species
AAAACUGCCUGAUGGAGGGGGAUAACUACUGGAAACGGUAGCUAAUACCGCAUAACGUCGCAAGACCAAAGAGGGGGACCUUCGGGCCUCUUGCCAUCGGAUGUGCCCAGAUGGGAUUAGCUAGUAGGUGGGGUAACGGCUCACCUAGGCGACGAUCCCUAGCUGGUCUGAGAGGAUGACCAGCCACACUGGAACUGAGACACGGUCCAGACUCCUACGGGAGGCAGCAGUGGGGAAUAUUGCACAAUGGGCGCAAGCCUGAUGCAGCCAUGCCGCGUGUAUGAAGAAGGCCUUCGGGUUGUAAAGUACUUUCAGCGGGGAGGAAGGGAGUAAAGUUAAUACCUUUGCUCAUUGACGUUACCCGCAGAAGAAGCACCGGCUAACUCCGUGCCAGCAGCCGCGGUAAUACGGAGGGUGCAAGCGUUAAUCGGAAUUACUGGGCGUAAAGCGCACGCAGGCGGUUUGUUAAGUCAGAUGUGAAAUCCCCGGGCUCAACCUGGGAACUGCAUCUGAUACUGGCAAGCUUGAGUCUCGUAGAGGGGGGUAGAAUUCCAGGUGUAGCGGUGAAAUGCGUAGAGAUCUGGAGGAAUACCGGUGGCGAAGGCGGCCCCCUGGACGAAGACUGACGCUCAGGUGCGAAAGCGUGGGGAGCUAACAGGAUUAGAUACCCUGGUAGUCCACGCCGUAAACGAUGUCGACUUGGAGGUUGUGCCCUUGAGGCGUGGCUUCCGGAGCUAACGCGUUAAGUCGACCGCCUGGGGAGUACGGCCGCAAGGUUAAAACUCAAAUGAAUUGACGGGGGCCCGCACAAGCGGUGGAGCAUGUGGUUUAAUUCGAUGCAACGCGAAGAACCUUACCUGGUCUUGACAUCCACGGAAGUUUUCAGAGAUGAGAAUGUGCCUUCGGGAACCGUGAGACAGGUGCUGCAUGGCUGUCGUCAGCUCGUGUUGUGAAAUGUUGGGUUAAGUCCCGCAACGAGCGCAACCCUUAUCCUUUGUUGCCAGCGGUCCGGCCGGGAACUCAAAGGAGACUGCCAGUGAUAAACUGGAGGAAGGUGGGGAUGACGUCAAGUCAUCAUGGCCCUUACGACCAGGGCUACACACGUGCUACAAUGGCGCAUACAAAGAGAAGCGACCUCGCGAGAGCAAGCGGACCUCAUAAAGUGCGUCGUAGUCCGGAUUGGAGUCUGCAACUCGACUCCAUGAAGUCGGAAUCGCUAGUAAUCGUGGAUCAGAAUGCCACGGUGAAUACGUUCCCGGGCCUUGUACACACCGCCCGUCACACCAUGGGAGUGGGUUGCAAAAGAAGUAGGUAGCUUAACCUUCGGGAGGGCGCUUACCACUUUGUGAUUCAUGACUGGGGUGAAGUCGUAACAAGGUAACCGUAGGGGAACCUGCGGUUG